rnacentral:rRNA from 1 species
CCCAAGAGAUCGGGAUAACACCUGGAAACAGAUGCUAAUACCGGAUAACAACAGAUGAUGCCUAUCAACUGUUUAAAAGAUGGUUCUGCUAUCACUCUUGGAUGGACCUGCGGUGCAUUAGCUAGUUGGUAGGGUGACGGCCUACCAAGGCGAUGAUGCAUAGCCGAGUUGAGAGACUGAUCGGCCACAUUGGGACUGAGACACGGCCCAAACUCCUACGGGAGGCAGCAGUG